UCUCCUGUAGCUCAGUUGAAGCUAGAGCAUUUGACUGGUGUGUGGAAAGUCAUAGGUUCAACUCCUGUUGGGAGAA